rnacentral:rRNA from 1 species
AUUGAACGCUGGCGGCAGGCCUAACACAUGCAAGUCGAACGAGUGGCGGACGGGUGAGUAAUGUCUGGGAAACUGCCCGAUGGAGGGGGAUAACUACUGGAAACGGUAGCUAAUACCGCAUACCAUCUGAUGUGCCCAGAUGGGAGUAGCUCGUAGGUGAGGUAACGGCUCACCUAGGCGACGAUCCCUAGCUGGUCUGAGAGGAUGACCAGCCAAUGUGGAACUGAGACACGGUCCAGAAUCCUACGGGAGGCAGCAGUGGGGAAUAUUGCGCAAUGGGUGCAAGCCUGAUGCAGCCAGGCCGCGUGUAUGAAGAAGGCCUUCGGGUUGUAAAGUACUUUCCGCGGGGAGGCGUUACCCGAAGAAGAAGCACCGGCUAACUCCGUGCCAGCAGCCGCGGUAAUAC